rnacentral:rRNA from 1 species
AGCGAACAUUGGCGGUAGGCUUAACACAUGCAAGUCGAGCGAGGCGUAAUAGUCGAGCGGCGAACGGGUGCGUAAUACAUGGGAAUCUACCUCGAAGUGGGGGAUAACGUCCAGAAAUGGACGCUAAUACCGCAUAAUCCAUAUUGGGAAAGCGUUGCAGCGCUUUGAGAUGAGCCCAUGGCUGAUUAGCUAGUUGGUGAGGUAAUGGCUCACCAAGGCGACGAUCAGUAGCUGGUCUGAGAGGAUGACCAGCCACACUGGAACUGAGACACGGUCCAGACUCCUACGGGAGGCAGCAGUGGGGAAUCUUGCGCAAUGGGACAACCCUGACGCAGCCAUACCGCGUGAGUGAUGAAGGUCUUCGGAUUGUAAAGCUCUUUCGGCGGGGACGACGAUGACGGUACCCGCAAAAGAAGUCACGGCUAACUUCGUGCCAGCCGCCGCGGUAA